UACGUAGGGUGCGAGCGUUGUCCGGAAUUAUUGGGCGUAAAGAGCUUGUAGGCGGUUUGUCGCGUCUGCCGUGAAAAUUCGAGGCUCAACCUCGAACUUGCGGUGGAUACGGGCAGACUAGAGUUCGGCAGGGGAGACUGGAAUUCCUGGUGUAGCGGUGAAAUGCGCAGAUAUCAGGAGGAACACCGGUGGCGAAGGCGGGUCUCUGGGCCGACACUGACGCUGAGGAGCGAAAGCGUGGGGAGCGAACAGG
rnacentral:rRNA from 1 species